rnacentral:rRNA from 1 species
AACGAACGCUGGCGGCAUGCCUAACACAUGCAAGUCGAACGGGAUCCUAGCUUGCUAGGUGAGAGUGGCGGACGGGUGAGUAACACGUGGGAAUCUGCCUUUUGGUUCGGGAUAACCGCGGGAAACUGCGGCUAAUACCGAAUGCCCUCGAGAGAGGAAAGAUUUAUCGCCAGAAGAGGAGCCCGCGUCCGAUUAGGUAGUUGGUGGGGUAAAGGCCUACCAAGCCGACGAUCGGUAGCUGGUCUGAGAGGAUGAUCAGCCACACUGGACUGAGAUACGGCCCAGACUCCUACGGGAGGCAGCAGUGGGAAUAUUGGACAAUGGGGGCAACCCUGAUCCAGCAAUGCCGCGUGAGUGAUGAA